UAUAUAUAUAUGUGUGUGUGUGUGUGUGUGUGUGUGUGUAUACACACAUACACAUACACACACAAAAUGGAGACACU